GCAACGGGGGAGCAAGGACAGAAGAAAGAGGUGCAGAAGGAGGAAGAGGAACAAGCAGGAAGGCGCCAGCGGAGGAGACGUGAAAAGAAGCAGGAGGAGACCGGCUCUCCAGGAGCUUAGCAGAAGAAACGGGCAGGCUGUGCUUCCACCGGGCGGACGGCUUCAUUUCGCUCCCUCUCUCGGCCACUGAUCACUCUGCGUGGGGCUGCAGCUGGCCUUGCAGCGUGGCAUUCCUGGUGCUGGACUUCAUGUCUUUGCACUCAGGAGCCCUGACAGGGGUGGGAGUGCGGCCUUCUCAGGCCGCCCUGAAUCUCUCUGCACCGAGUCCCUUGCCAUUGGGUGGGAGGUGGCUUGCUCCUGCUGGACCUGAAGUAUGUGCGCUGAGCCGCCCCUGGAUGGGACUGGGGGUAUUGCUUUUUCGCGCCACUGCUUUCUGUAUGUGCGCUGAGCUGCCCCUGGGUAGGCUGGCCUGGGGGUGUUGCUUCCUCGCGCCGAGCCUUAGAGGUAUGUGCGCUGAGCCGCCCCUGGUCGGGGCUGGGGGCGUUAGCUUUCUCACGCCGAGCUUGAUGCCAUGUGCGCUGAGCCUGCCCCUGGCUGGGCUCAGCUUGGGGGUGUUGCUUCCUCUCGCGCCGAGCCUUCGGGUAUGUGCGCUGAGCCGCCCCGGGCUGGGGCUGGGAGCGUUGCUUUGUGCUGCCAGGCCUUAUGUCUCUGCACUGAGCCGCCCCAGUGAGGGCUGGGGGCGUUGCUUCCUCUCGCCACGAGCUUCACGUCUUUGCUCUGAGAAGCCCCUCAUUUGGCCAGGGGGUGGCUCUCUCCAAGCCUUGCUGCCUGACUUUGCCCUUCAUGCUCCCAGUGGUGUUGAGCUGGCCACUCCGGCCUGCCCACGGAGCAAGCUCGGGACGGUAGAAGUGUGGCCUCCCGGACCUCUUCCAGCAGCAGCAGCAGCCUCUGCUGGCUGAAGGCACACGCCUGACGCUUGGUGUGCUCACGCUCCUCCUUGGCUUGGGCUCUUGCGUGAGCAGGGCUGCUCCUCAAGAAGGCCUUCUGAAGAGGGAAAAGAGUCAAGAGCUGCGAGAAGCUGAUCUCUUGCCUUGGGAGGCAAAGGAGAGAAAGGGCAGAAGAAAGAAGUGCCGCAGGCUGGCGAAAGAGAAGCCGCAAGGAGCAACAGGAGGAGACCUGGACGGGGAAGAAGGAGGCGGAGAAGACUGGCUCUCAAGCAGCUUCACAGAAGGAAGAAGGGGGAGCUUCCGCUCCCACCAGCUGGAGGGCCUCAUUGCUGCCCUUCUCUCUGCUCCGUCUCCCUGAGUAGCCACUGGUUUGGGAGGGGCGUGGACAGAACAGGAUGGACUCGGUGUCCAUCCGCUCAGUGGCCCUUUCUUGAACUGGGCUGCGGCUUUCUUGUGCUGGACUUCAUGUCUCUGCACUUGGGGAGCCCUACAAAUAGUGAGAGGGUGGCCCUCAUAGGGGCCAUCCAAGGGGCAGCCCCUAUUUCAGCUGAGGUGUGGCUUUCUCGGGCUGGACUUUAUGUCUUUGCACUGGGGAACCCUACGACUGUGGGAGCGUGGCCUUCUUGGUGUCUGUAUACUGGAGAAGCCCGGAUUGGUCUGGGGAGUGGCCUUCUCGUGCUGGACUUUACGUCUUUGCACUGGGGAGCCCUACAAAUAGUGAGAGGGUGGCCCUCAUAGGUGCCAUCCAAGGGGCAGCCCCUAUUUCAGCUGAGGUGUGGCUUUCUCGGGCUGGACUUUAUGUCUUUGCACUGGGGAGCCCUACGACUGUGGGAAGUGUCUGUAUACUGGAGAACUCCUGAUUUGUCUGGGGGCGUGUUUCUCGUGCUGGACUUCACGUCUCUGCACUGGGGAGCCCUACAAAUAGUGAGAGGGUGGCCCUUGUAGGGGCCGUACACGGAGCAGCCCCCAUUUCGGCUGAGGUGUGGCUUUCUCGUGCUGGACUUUAUGUCUUUGCACUGGGGAGCCCUACGACUGUGGGAAGUGUCUGUAUACUGGAGAAGCCCGGAUUGGUCUGGGGAGUGGCCUUCUCGUGCUGGACUUCACGUCUCUGCACUGGGGAGCCCUACAAAUAGUGAGAGGGUGGCCCUCGUAGGGGCCGUACACGGAGCAGCCCCCAUUUCGGCUGAGGUGUGGCUUUCUCGUGCUGGACUUCACGUCUUUGCACUGCGGAGCCCUACAAUUGUGGGAGCGUGGCCUCUUUUUGAUUAUUAUUAUUUUGACAUUUCUAGCCCGCUCUUCUUCCCAGGAGCCCAAAGCGGUGUACUGCAUACUUGUUUCCCCCCCUCCCACAACAACCCUGUGAGUAGGUUAGGCUGAGAGAGAAGCGACUGGCCCAGAGUCACCCAGCUAGUAGCAUGGCUGAAUGGGGAUUUGGACUCGAGUCUCCCCGGUCCUAGUAAACUAGGGAACCCCUGAUUUGGCUGUGGUGCCGGUUUCACGUGCUGGACUUCACGUCUUUGCACUGGGGAGCCCUACAAUGGUAAGAGUAUGGCCAUCGUAGUGGCUGUAUACUGGGGACCCCCGAUUUGGCUGGGGAGCGGCUUUCUCAUGCUGGACUUCACGUCCUGGCCCUGGGGAGCCCCGAAAGAGGUGGGAGUAUGUCCUCCCCAGACGAGCCUGAGUGUCUGUAUGCUGCGUGGCUGCUCAUUUAUCCGCAGGGUGCCGUUCCUCGCUGCGUGACUUUGCCCUUCAUCUUGCAAGUGGUGAUGAGUUGGCAUCUCCCAACUGCCCCGUCCCUAGUCUUCAGCUUGGCGCGCCCUGCCCACGGAGAAAGCCAGGGACGGUGGAAGUGCGGCAUCCAUGACCUCUUCAAGCAGCGUGGUGUGCCGAGGAGCGGGCCCUGCUGGCUGGCUGAAGAAGGCACACGAAGGCAACGGGGGAGCAAGGACAGAAGAAAGAGGUGCAGGAGGAGGAAGAGGAACAAGCAGGAAGGCGCCAGCGGAGGAGACGUGAAAAGAAGCAGGAGGAGACCGGCUCUCCAGGAGCUUAGCAGAAGAAACGGGCAGGCUGUGCUUCCACCGGGCGGACGGCUUCAUUUCGCUCCCUCUCUGGGCCACUGAUCACUCUGCGUGGGGCUGCAGCUGGCCCUGCAGCGUGGCAUUCCUGGUGCUGGACUUCAUGUCUUUGCACUCAGGAGCCCUGACAGGGGUGGGAGUGCGGCCUUCUCAGGCCGCCCUGAAUCUCUCUGCACCGAGUCCCUUGCCAUUGGGUGGGAGGUGGCUUGCUCCUGCUGGACCUGAAGUAUGUGUGCUGAGCCGCCCCUGGAUGGGACUGGGGGUAUUGCUUUUUCGCGCCACUGCUUUCUGUAUGUGCGCUGAGCUGCCCCUGGGUAGGCUGGCCUGGGGGUGUUGCUUCCUCGCGCCGAGCCUUAGAGGUAUGUGCGCUGAGCCGCCCCUGGUCGGGGCUGGGGGCGUUAGCUUUCUCACGCCGAGCUUGAUGCCAUGUGCGCUGAGCCUGCCCCUGGCUGGGCUCAGCUUGGGGGUGUUGCUUCCUCUCGCGCCGAGCCUUCGGGUAUGUGCGCUGAGCCGCCCCGGGCUGGGGCUGGGAGCGUUGCUUUGUGCUGCCAGGCCUUAUGUCUCUGCACUGAGCCGCCCCAGUGAGGGCUGGGGGCGUUGCUUCCUCUCGCCACGAGCUUCACGUCUUUGCUCUGAGAAGCCCCUCAUUUGGCCAGGGGGUGGCUCUCUCCAAGCCUUGCUGCCUGACUUUGCCCUUCAUGCUCCCAGUGGUGUUGAGCUGGCCACUCCGGCCUGCCCACGGAGCAAGCUCGGGACGGUAGAAGUGUGGCCUCCCGGACCUCUUCCAGCAGCAGCAGCAGCCUCUGCUGGCUGAAGGCACACGCCUGACGCUUGGUGUGCUCACGCUCCUCCUUGGCUUGGGCUCUUGCGUGAGCAGGGCUGCUCCUCAAGAAGGCCUUCUGAAGAAGGAAAAGAGUCAAGAGCUGCGAGAAGCUGAUCUCUUGCCUUGGGAGGCAAAGGAGAGAAAGGGCAGAAGAAAGAAGUGCCGCAGGCUGGCGAAAGAGAAGCCGCAAGGAGCAACAGGAGGAGACCUGGACGGGGAAGAAGGAGGCGGAGAAGACUGGCUCUCAAGCAGCUUCACAGAAGGAAGAAGGGGGAGAUUCCGCUCCCACCAGCUGGAGGGCCUCAUUGCUGCCCUUCUCUCUGCUCUGUCUCCCUGAGUGGAGGAUGAUUUACCUGGAGCCUGGCUGCUUCAGGAGGCUUGGGAUGUCCCUGCCCUGAGUAGCCACUGGUUUGGGAGGGGCGUGGACAGAACAGGAUGGACUCGGUGUCCAUCCGCUCAGUGGCCCUUUCUUGAACUGGGCUGCGGCUUUCUCGUGCUGGACUUCAUGUCUCUGCACUUGGGGAGCCCUACAAAUAGUGAGAGGGUGGCCCUCAUAGGGGCCAUCCAAGGGGCAGCCCCUAUUUCAGCUGAGGUGUGGCUUUCUCGGGCUGGACUUUAUGUCUUUGCACUGGGGAGCCCUACGACUGGGAGCGUGGCCUUCUUGGUGUCUGUAUACUGGAGAAGCCCGGAUUGGUCUGGGGAGUGGCCUUCUUGUGCUGGACUUUACGUCUUUGCACUGGGGAGCCCUACAAAUAGUGAGAGGGUGGCCCUCAUAAUGGCCAUCCAAGGGGCAGCCCCUAUUUCAGCUGAGGUGUGGCUUUCUCGUGCUGGACUUUACGUCUUUGCACUGGGGAGCCCUACAAAUAGUGAGAGGGUGGCCCUCAUAGGGGCCGUCCAAGGGGCAGCCCCUAUUUCAGCUGAGGUGUGGCUUUCUCGGGCUGGACUUUAUGUCUUUGCACUGGGGAGCCCUACGACUGUGGGAAGUGUCUGUAUACUGGAGAACUCCUGAUUUGUCUGGGGGCGUGUUUCUCAUGCUGGACUUCACGUCUCUGCACUGGGGAGCCCUACAAAUAGUGAGAGGGUGGCCCUCGUAGGGGCCGUACACGGAGCAGCCCCCAUUUCGGCUGAGGUGUGGCUUUCUCGUGCUGGACUUAACGUCUUUGCACUGGGGAGCCCUACAAAUAGUGAGAGGGUGGCCCUCAUAGGGGCCAUCCAAGGGGCAGCCCCUAUUUCAGCUGAGGUGUGGCUUUCUCGGGCUGGACUUUAUGUCUUUGCACUGGGGAGCCCUACAACUGUGGGAGCAUGGCCUUCUUGGUGUCUGUAUACUGGAGAAGCCCGGAUUUGUCUGGGGGGCGUGUUUCUCAUGCUGGACUUCACGUCUUUGCACUGUCUGUCUUAGUGGCCAUACAGUGGGUUUCAGGUAUCACUUUUUCCAAUUGGAUUUUACAUUUUUUCUUUGUAUUUUACAUUUCAAUGUCUGGGGGAGCUUCAAUCCUGGUUAUAUGACUUUGCUCUUCUUUUUCUGAAUGGUGAUGAAGUGGUACCUCCGGCCUUGCGUGGUACGACAGUAGGGGUGCGACAUUUCUGACCUCUUCAAGCGGUGUGGUAUGCUGAGCACGCUCUGCUGGCUGAAAGCACACGAGAAUAGGAGAAAGAUUGAAGGAAGAACUGCAGAACAAGGAGAAAGAACAUCAGAAAGUCCCAACAGGAGCCCUGAAGACUAACUGGAGAAGUGGGAGGAGAAGACCGGAUAACAAGAAGCAGGAGAGAAGAAACAGGCAGGCUCCCUCCUCGGAGCUGACUGCCUCCUUCACGACUGAGUAGCAAUUCUGUCACAUAGAAAUAUCCCCACAUUGCUGUGAGCCUGUUUCAACCCAAGAUGGCGACCACCUCCAAAGGACUUCACUUUUUGGUGGCGUCUAAAUAUUGGCACAGCCCUGUGAAGCUGCUUGGCCUGUCCGCUGGUGGGGGUCUCAAAAGAGCGGCAUGCUUGAGGGGCAGUUUUCUGGCAGUUCAGUCUUCAUGCCUGACCCUGUGUCUCGGCUGCUUCCUGCUCUGAGAAAUCCCCAAGGUACUUGGAGUGUGGUUUUCUUCAUUCCUGGCUUGAUAUCUCUGCUUCAGAUUGCUCAGAGCCUCCACUGAGAUGUCUGGAGAGCCACUGGCCUUGGGUGUGUCCAGGGUUUUAUCCUAGAUGGCUUCUCUGCCCCCCAUUAUUUCUGUGUGCUGCUUGCAAUAUUGUUUAAAUACAAACUUAAAAUAUGUUAGAAACUAAAACAAAAAUAGCUGUUGCAUAGGAUAACAUCUAAAAGGAUAGGAUCAAACCUAAAAAGAAUAAACAAGUGUAGUAUAAUAUAAGUAGGAUAACAUCUAAAAGAUUAGGAUAAAAUCUAAAAAGGUUCAACAAGUGUAGUAUAAUAUAAGACAUACAGAUCUAUUAACUUAAUUAGGAAGGCUAAUAGGAACUAAAAUGAAGCAUUUUCAACGUAGAUUAGAUAUUCUAGACCAACUAGUGUAUUAAAAUAAUAUUCAAAGCAGCAUAUGGGAAUGGUGAGAAAAAGCACUUUGCUACUGAAAGUCUGAAAGGCCAGAACCCAUCCACCACUCGCUCAUGUAGCUCUUCCGUGGCUCCGAGUCUCUUCCUGCUAGCAUCUUACAGACUAUUCCCCCUUUGAUGCAAAGAUGGGUGCUUGGGCAAUUUGAUGUAGAAAUAAAGAUCAAUAUUGUCUUUGUGUAGCUUUGCUUACUGACAGGCUUAUAGGAUGCUGAAGAGGGUAUUUCUGUCAAGCACCCAGAACUGAUUCUUAUUUCAAGUUGUUUUAACCUGUGUUUUUUUGUAAAUGGCCCAGAGCCAUGAGGUUUGCUAAAUAAAAAACUCUCCGUAUUGUC